rnacentral:rRNA from 1 species
AUUGAACGCUGGCGGCAGGCCUAACACAUGCAAGUCGAGCGGUAGAGAGGAGCUUGCUCCUCUUGAGAGCGGCGGACGGGUGAGUAAUGCCUAGGAAUCUGCCUGGUAGUGGGGGAUAACGUUCGGAAACGGACGCUAAUACCGCAUACGUCCUACGGGAGAAAGCAGGGGACCUUCGGGCCUUGCGCUAUCAGAUGAGCCUAGGUCGGAUUAGCUAGUUGGUGAGGUAAUGGCUCACCAAGGCGACGAUCCGUAACUGGUCUGAGAGGAUGAUCAGUCACACUGGAACUGAGACACGGUCCAGACUCCUACGGGAGGCAGCAGUGGGGAAUAUUGGACAAUGGGCGAAAGCCUGAUCCAGCCAUGCCGCGUGUGUGAAGAAGGUCUUCGGAUUGUAAAGCACUUUAAGUUGGGAGGAAGGGCAGUAAAUUAAUACUUUGCU